AACUUAUAUAAACCCUCGCACAUAUUCAAUAAACAGCCAUUGCACCUGAUCUCCAACUUCAACUUGGGCCCUUUGGGCAAUGUCAUGGUUCCACUCCCCUCUCCCCCGGACCGUGGCACAAUUCUAAUAGAAUGGUUUUCUCUUAUGUUAAGGUGCUCUGAGUGGAAGCACCAUCCACUGUUCUGAAGUGUUUUAUAAAAGUCUUUCUAAUGCCAGGGUGCAGCUAACACAGUGAGAGUCGGAUGUACAGUGACCCUGCAGAGUCUGAUUCACCUGCUCAUAUGCUGCUCUCUCAAUGGUUUGCAUGGAUAUUUGUUGGAGGUGCCCCGAUGGAGACCUAUGAGUGGUGAAGUUAGUAAAAAGAAAUCAGAAGAAGAGGGAGAAAAACUAUUGGAAUGUACUUACAUCUUGGUGCGCUGAAUGUGACUGUUGGGACCACGAGAGUGUUUGUUUCAGCGUGCAUUUACUCCAUUAUGCAAUUGUUUUAUUAUUAGUAUAAUAUAUUUUAUUAUAAAAAUGUGUUAUUCCCUGCACUGUACCCCUGUUACCCUUUUUUCUGUUUGUUCGAUGUAAGCCCUUUCCUUAUUCAUCCUACCCUGCUUCACCUCUUCUACCCAAAGACAGUUUCCCAUUUGUCCAUGUUCAGACAGUUCCACCCCUUGUUGCUGUGAUUUGCCACUCCUGGAAUACUCCUCCCACUCUCCACCCUUUGUUCCAGAAAAGUCUCUACUCUCCCUAUAAAAGCCAGCAUCCAUGUUUUAUAAAUGUUCAUUCUGUGUCA